CGAAUCUCCAAAAAUUAGUCCCAGUUCAGAUUGCAGGCUGCAACUCGCCUGCAUGAAGUCGGAACUGCUAGUAAUCGUGGAUCAGCAUGCCACGGUGAAUACGUUCCCGGGCCUUGUACACACCGCCCGUCACACCAUGGGAGUCGGUAACACCCGAAGCCUGUAGUCUAACCGCAAGGAGGACGCAGUCGAAGGUGGGAUUGAUGACUGGGGUGAAGUCGUAACAAGGUACC
rnacentral:rRNA from 1 species